rnacentral:lncRNA from 1 species
GGAGCCAUCUUCAACCUUCUUCUUGCCAUCGAUAUUCUUUGGAGGGGAGAUUAGAGCCGUUUGAAGAGAUUUGUGAAAUCUUUCGGGAUCUCAAGGAUCUUUAGGACUUAUCCUUUAAUUCUUGCUGUUCAAUUUCUUUUAUUUAAUUCUACUUGUGCCGAAUCUCAAUUCUAAUCUAUUUGCUAUUUUAUUUGUGUUUCCAGCCCUCG